rnacentral:rRNA from 1 species
UACAUAGGGUGCAAGCGUUGUCCGGAUUUAUUGGGCGUAAAGAACUCGUAGGUGGUUUGUUACGUCGGAUGUGAAACUCUGGGGCUCAACCCCAGACCUGCAUCCGAUACGGGCAGACUAGAGUGUGGUAGGGGAGACUGGAAUUCCUGGUGUAGCGGUGGAAUGCGCAGAUAUCAGGAGGAACACCAAUGGCGAAGGCA